UACAGGGGGGGCAAGCGUUGUUCGGAAUUACUGGGCGUAAAGGGCCCGUAGGCGGCCAACUAAGUCACACGUGAAAUCCCCAGGCUUAACCUGGGAACUGCGUGUGAUACUGGAUGGCUUGAAUUCGGGAGAGGGAUGCAGAAUUCCAGGUGUAGCGGUGAAAUGCGUAGAUAUCUGGAGGAAUACCGGUGGCGAAGGCGGCAUCCUGGACCGACAUUGACGCUGAAAGGCGAAAGCUAGGGGAGCAAACGGG
rnacentral:rRNA from 1 species